CAGUAGCCGCGGGAAUACGGAGGGUGCAAGCGUUAAUCGGAAUUACUGGGCGUAAAGCGCACGCAGGCGGUUUGUUAAGUCAGAUGUGAAAUCCCCGGGCUCAACCUGGGAACUGCAUUUGAAACUGGCAAGCUAGAGUCUCGUAGAGGGGGGUAGAAUUCCAGGUGUAGCGGUGAAAUGCGUAGAGAUCUGGAGGAAUACCGGUGGCGAAGGCGGCCCCCUGGACGAAGACUGACGCUCAGGUGCGAAAGCGUGGGGAGCAAACAGGAUUAGAUACCCGAGUAGUCCCUGUCUCUUAUAC
rnacentral:rRNA from 1 species